AUGAACGCUGGCGGCGUGCCUAAUACAUGCAAGUCGAGCGCACAGACGAGGAGCUUGCUCCUCUGACGUUAGCGGCGGCCGGGUGAGUAACACGUGGAUAACCUACCUAUAAGACUGGGAUAACUUCGGGAAACCGGAGCUAAUACCGGAUAAUAUAUUUAACCGCAUGGUUCAAUAGUGAAAGACGGUUUUGCUGUCACUUAUAGAUGGAUCCGCGCCGCAUUAGCUAGUUGGUAAGGUAACGGCUUACCAAGGCGACGAUGCGUAGCCGACCUGAGAGGGUGAUAGGCCACACUGGAACUGAGACACGGUCCAGACUCCUACGGGAGGCAGCAGUAGGGAAUCGUCCGCAAUGGGCGAAAGCCUGACGGAGCAACGCCGCGUGAGUGAUGAAGGUCUUCGGAUCGUAAAACUCUGUUAUUAGGGAAGAACAAAUGUGUAAGUAACUAUGCACGUCUUGACGGUACCUAAUCAGAAAGCCACGGCUAACUACGUG
rnacentral:rRNA from 1 species